rnacentral:rRNA from 1 species
AGCGAACGCUGGCGGCAGGCCUAACACAUGCCAGUCGAACGAACUCUUCGGAGUUAGUGGCGGACGGGUGAGUAACACGUGGGAACGUGCCUUUAGGUUCGGAAUAACUCAGGGAAACUUGUGCUAAUACCGAAUGUGCCCUUCGGGGGAAAGAUUUAUCGCCUUUAGAGCGGCCCGCGUCUGAUUAGCUAGUUGGUGAGGUAAAGGCUCACCAAGGCGACGAUCAGUAGCUGGUCUGAGAGGAUGAUCAGCCACAUUGGGACUGAGACACGGCCCAAACUCCUACGGGAGGCAGCAGUGGGGAAUCUGGCGCAAUGGGCGAAAGCCUGACGCAGCCAUGCCGCGUGAAUGAUGAAGGUCUUAGGAUUGUAAAAUUCUUUCACCGGGGACGAUAAUGACGGUACCCGGAGAAGAAGCCCCGGCUAACUUCGU